UUAGCUAUUUUAGAUAGGUUUGUAUUCAUGAAUCAUGGAUACAAACAGCAAAAGACUGUUUUUGUAUCUAUGAUGGCUAGAGCACUUUGUACUGAACAAACAGCCACGUAGACAAUCCUAAGUGGCUAACAAAAGUAAUGAACUAACGACUUUUAUCAAUCCAUUUAGGCAUAUUGUCUGAAUGGAUUUUUUGUUUUAUCAA
rnacentral:ncRNA from 12 species